ACAGUUAACGGCCAUGUAGGUGUGCUGUUAUAUGAAUAUUAUUAGUAGAAUUAAUCUCACAACAGUCAUGUAGGUGUGCUGUUGUAGGAACAGUUAACGGCCAUGUAGGUGUGCUGUUAUAUGAAUAUUAUUAGUAGAAUUAAUCUCACAACAGUCAUGUAGGUGUGCUGUUGUAGGAACAGUUAACGGCCAUGUAGGUGUGCUGUUAUAUGAAUAUUAUUAGUAGAAUUAAUCUCACAACAGUCAUGUAGGUGUGCUGUUGUAGGAACAGUUAACGGCCAUGUAGGUGUGCUGUUAUAUGAAUAUUAUUAAUAGAAUUAAUCUCACAACAGUCAUGUAGGUGUGCUGUUGAAGGAACAGUUAACGGCCAUGUAGGUGUGCUGUUAUAUGAAUAUCAUUAGUAGAAUAAAUCUCACAACAGUCAUGUAGGUGUGCUGUUGAAGGAACAGUUAACGGCCAUGUAGGUGUGCUGUUAUAUGAAUAUCAUUAGUAGAAUAAAUCUCACAACAGCCAUGCAGGUGUGCUGUUGUAUGAGCAGUUAAUGGCCAUAUAGGUGAGGUGUUAUGUGAAUAAUGAAUAGGUGACACGCGUCACAAUUAGCCAGACCACAAAUUUGUGCCUCAGGAUAUAACGUUACAAGUCAAAUACGCCAUAGAUAAUUUGAGUUACAAUUACAAAAAAAAAAAAACGUUAAAAUUAAGACAAGAACGUUAAGUGCAAGCAUUUUCAGGAAAUGGCGAUGGAAGCUAUACACCGAAGCGAACUCGUCGGGGACAUCAGAGGUUGACUUCCGAUGAUUCCGAGGAGGAAGCAAACAGCAAACGAAAGAGAAUGUCUGGAGGUAUGACGGCGGACGACCUUGUGAAGAUCAUAACAUUACUACAGGAAAAUUCAAGUAAAAACACUCAAAAUAAUAAUAAUAACGUGGUACCAGAGUUCGAUCCUAACAAUAAGUCUCAGGAUGUGGAGCGAUGGUUGCGGAAGGUGAAUGAGUGUUCAGUUAUUUAUAAUUGGAAUGAUAAACAAACGGCACAUUAUGCGUUACAAAAAUUACACGGGCUAGCGAAGACCUGGUACGAAUCCUUACCAUCACUCGAUUACACCUGGGAGGAGUGGCAAAUAAAAUU